CGAACGAGUAGAACUUGUUCUGCUAGUGGCAAACGGGCGAGUAAUACAUAUUUAACUUACUUUUACGAGGAGAAUAGCAGUCCAAAAGGACUAUUAAUACUCCAUAGGUUUAUAAACUAAAUCAAAGAGGCUCCCUCGGGGGCCUCGCGUAGAAAUAGGAAUAUGUCCUAUUAGGUAGUUGGCGGGGUAAAGGCCCACCAAGCCAGUGAUGGGUAGCUGGACUGAGAGGUUGAACAGCCGCAAUGGGAUUGAGAUAUGGCCCAUAUUCCUACGGGAAGCAGCAGUGAGGAAUUUUUCACAAUGGACGAAAGUCUGAUGGAGCAAUACCACGUGAACGAUGAAGGUCUUCUGGUUGUAAAGUUCUUUUAUUUAGGAAAAAAAGCGCGCUAGGAAAUGAGCGCGCCUUGAUGGUACUA
rnacentral:rRNA from 1 species